rnacentral:rRNA from 1 species
AUGAAAUUAACUUUCCAGGAUUGGAUUUCCGGGCGCGGAAGCGGAAGCACGCAUGACGUCCGGGCGCAGACACGAGCAUGUGCAGGGAAGGAUUUUUUUAUGGCACGCAUCGCAGAAGUGGGGAAAAAUAAACAAAUGGAGCAGAUGCAGCCAGUGGUCUGUUCCGGCGUUGGGUCCUUGCAUGAGCAGAGCUAGCUAGCGUCCAUCCACUAGCUUUUACUUUAAGGAAACGGGAAACCAGAGUAAACUAAACCCAGUUGCCAAUUUGCUCUUCACCAAACACGCACAGCGACAGAUCGAGAAGCCAGAGCUGCUGAAAAUUCAAUGCGCCAAUCAUUGCGGCGCAGCAGCACCAGCAGCAACCAGGGACUCAUCAUCCCUUCUUCUCCUGGCAGUAAAUGAGCAGUGCAAGUUCUUCAUUUCUCUCUGGAACUUCAGUUCAAUCGGUGAAGAAAGGAUUAUCUGAGAUAAUUUAACAGUGGAAGUAAGUUGGAUUGGUAAACAAAGGAUAAUAUUGGCGAGAUAAUUUAACACCGGAAGUAAGUUGGAUUUUGUUAUUAUAUGAACAGUAGAAAAUGACGUUGAUCUGCG